UGCCUGCGCCGAGCGGCGCUGGUCCACCGACGUGCUCCUCGAGGCCGGCCGCCUGGCCGCCCACUACCUGGUCGUGCAGGGCGUCCUCCCCGAGCACGUUCUCCACGCUCGGGAAGACCCCAGCCCCAAGCAGCACCACGUUCUCCACGCCAGAGACGACCCCAAGCUCGGCGGAACUCGUGCGAUCUGUGAAAUGAAAACCAACAUUUGGAGGAUGAUCAGGUACUUCUAAAUCAGGGUAUUGGCAUGCAUGAUUUAGAUAAGAACUACCAGAACAGCGAGCAGAUGCUUGUAAAUCAGAGAGCCAACGAGCAUGGACAUGGUGAUCAACAACCUGAGAGCGAGCAAAUGCUUUUAAACAAUGAGGAAGCAAUGCUAAAGCAAGAUGCCGAGGAGCAGGUGGAGAAUGAGCAGUUGCUACCUCAUCCUGCUACAGACGUUAAUCACCGGAUUAAGGAGGAGCAAAUGCUUCUAGAUGAUGUUACAGUUGUGCAUGACUUGGAUCAUUGUGAUCUGAAUAGAUUUGACGGUGUUUGUUGUUUUUGUUGAUAUAGGCCAAGGCAAAUGACUACCGUUCUAGGAUCUGGCUGCUUCUUCCUUUCAGUGGUUCCUGAAUUGUUGCAUUUCACAUGUCUUGGCUAAUUUUCCCUUGAUCAUGAGUUGAACUUCUUCAAGCGUUUCCUUGGGAGAGGCUUCCUGAAGCAUGUGCAGGACAAUGGACUUCUUCAAGAUAUCUUCAACAUCAAGGCUGGCAAGGCUGAAACGCUGUCAUCGAAUGACAAGAAAAUCUUUAGAUCUGGAGAAGAGAAAGGAAGAGCUCUGAAGCUGAACAAGGAUCGUCGUUUGGCACAUAUGAAUAACUCCUACGCUGGGUCGGGCCGUUUCCUUUACUUCAUAUUUUGUUUCUUCUGGUUUGCUUAUAAGAUAGUGAGGUCAUUCCUUAAUCAUUUACCUCCUCCAGUCUACAAAUUCCUCGAGUUGACAAAUAAAUGAUAUUUCUUCACAUUGCUAAGUGAAACCUAAAAAACUUUGGCUGUCAAUAUCAUCUUAAAUAUGUAUGUUUGGAACUUGAAAAUCAUAUGGCCUCUGGGCAUAUUAUUGACAAUAUAUUUUUGUUGUCGUUAUCCUUUUUAUUAUGGGUGAACAUUUCUACCCGGCACCACAUAAUUUUUAGCAGUGCCUUCACUGAUCUUGAAUAUUUCUUUGUUCGUUUCAGGAGAGGAAGAACGCUGCUUUGUUUGACGAGUAACAAGAAAGGAAACAAAACAAAACCUCAUCGACCCGGCAGUUUACUCUGUUUGAGCUGGAAUUUAUUUAUUUAUAUCUGUGUAAACAAUCACAGGCAGAAUGUCCUUAGAGUUUGCUCCUUCCUUGACUUGUUGUCUAAUUAUGAUUAUGAUGGCUUGUUGUACUUGAGAAAUACUACUACUUGGCCGAAAUGAUCACUGUUGGUGUUAUAA